GACGAACGCUGGCGGCGUGCUUAACACAUGCAAGUCGAACGGAAAGGCCCUGCUUGCAGGGUACUCGAGUGGCGAACGGGUGAGUAACACGUGGGUGAUCUGCCCUGCACUUCGGGAUAAGCCUGGGAAACUGGGUCUAAUACCGGAUAGGAGCCAUUUUUAGUGUGAUGGUUGGAAAGUUUUUUCGGUGUGGGAUGAGCUCGCGGCCUAUCAGCUUGUUGGUGGGGUAAUGGCCUACCAAGGCGGCGACGGGUAGCCGGCCUGAGAGGGUGGACGGCCACAUUGGGACUGAGAUACGGCCCAGACUCCUACGGGAGGCAGCAGUGGGGAAUAUUGCACAAUGGGCGCAAGCCUGAUGCAGCGACGCCGCGUGGGGGAUGACGGCCUUCGGGUUGUAAACGCCUUUCGCUAGGGACGAAGCUUUUUGUGACGGUACCUAGAUAAGAAGCACCGGCUAACUACGUG
rnacentral:rRNA from 1 species